rnacentral:misc_RNA from 1 species
AAGUCGUAACAAGGUAUCCGUUGGUGAACCAGCGGAUGGAUCAUUACCAGAAACAUUUAUGCCAAAUUUGGCGUGGGUGACUUUGUUAUCCUCUGGAUUGGCUGGUAAAUCAGCCUGCCAGUACUUGUGGUGUGCAAUUACGCACGCUUGAUGAGUGAAGGGAUUGCUGGAAUGGACAAAGAUUAGUCCAGGCGAGAUGCGUCCUCAAUCUCUGAGACUGCCAUUGACUUGACUGAAGCGAUUGUCUCAAAAGAUGACAACUGCUGGCCGUGGAUCACUUGGCUGACG